rnacentral:sRNA from 1 species
ACUUGGUUGCGUUAGUGAUUGUAAUGGCAUCCUUUUUUUGACUUUAGGAAAAAAAAAGAUAUAAUGAAAAGCACGACCUUUA